AUGGAUGGUGAUAUUGAAGGGAGACAAACGUUGAGACAGGGUUUGAUCAAAAGCAUUGGCAACCGUCAAAUCACAAGCAUACGGGGAUGGGAACUGUCUGAAAUGUUUGGUUUCUUAUGGAAAAAAACAGGAAAGGUUUACGCCGUUCACUUCAAGUGCAACAAAAAGCUCCUGAGGGAGUACCCCAACCUGUUCAACUACACCAAGGACAUCUACCAGACCCCCGGGAUCAGCAGCACGGUGAACAUGGAGCACAUCAGGAAGCACUACUACGGGAGCCACCCCUCCAUCAACCCCUACGGGAUCAUCCCCCAAGGCCCCAACGUCGACUACAAUGCCCCACAUGACAGAGAAAGGCUGUUCCUGUAA
rnacentral:rRNA from 1 species